GAUGAACGCUAGCGGCAGGCUUAAUACAUGCAAGUCGAGGGGUAGCAAGAUUGUAGCAAUACAAUUGUUGACGCCCGGCAAACGGGUGCGGAACACGUACACAACCUUCCUACAAGUGGGGAAUAGCCCAGAGAAAUUCGGAUUAAUACCCCGUAACAUAGCGAUGUGGCAUCACAUUGCUAUUAAAGCUUCGGCUCUUGUUGAUGGGUGUGCGGCUGAUUAGAUAGUUGGCGGGGUAACGGCCCACCAAGGCUACGAUCAGUAGCUGAUGUGAGAGCAUGAUCAGCCACACGGGCACUGAGACACGGGCCCGACUCCUACGGGAGGCAGCAGUAAGGAAUAUUGGACAAUGGACGCAAGUCUGAUCCAGCCAUGCCGCGUGAAGGAUUAAGGUCCUCUGGAUUGUAAACUUCUUUUAUAAGGGGCGAAAGAAGGUCUUUCUAGAUCGUCUGACGGUACCUUAUGAAUAAGCACCGGCUAACUCCGUGCCAGCCGCCGCUGUAAGAC
rnacentral:rRNA from 1 species